rnacentral:lncRNA from 1 species
UUGUUUUCUUUGGGACCAGACCUAUGGCUUGGGCCUCUGAGCUACCUGCUCUGCCCCAUCCCUUUUCCUAGAAAAACAGCCAGGCAAAAUCUGGCAACCAGGUCUUCAGGAGCUGUGUGCACCCUCUGGCCUGUGCUACAGGAUCAGAUAGAGAUGUCUCCUAUCCCUUGGUUAAGGUAAGCUCCCUGGGAAGGAACAGCAUGUGCUGAUCCUUAACUGUGAAUUGGACAAUAGCUCAAAGAAAUAAAUUUACCCUAGGAAGUGAAUCAGCAAGACAAGACAUGUCCCCAGAAAGCCCAUCUCCGGGAUGGCUUUGAUGCUGGCAGAGCAGCAGUCUGCUCAGAGAGCAGGUGAAGGCCAUCAGCUGGGGGCUGCACUCACUCUUCCUUAACACCUGGGAGAGUCAUCCCCCAAAGGGAGCUUUUCCACUUGCCACAGCCUUGCUUAGCUCAAUGGGAAUCGCUGAGAUCAGAGACAGGAAGAAAGAGCCUGUAUCCUUGCUCCCUCCUGGGCUUUUGAGGUUCUGCUUCACAUCCUUAUAAAGUCUGAGGCAAGACACCUGUCCUCUGAGCUUUGGAACCUGGCUAUGGCUGCCACUUAACCCCUCUUUUCACAAUAGGUAUCUCCUCUCCUCCCUGCACCAAUGGCCUAAUUGCAUGCAUGCCUGUUGACACAGAGUGGAAAGAAGAAAGUCUUUAGUUAAGCAAUUAGUUGCUGCCAUUGCAGGCCCUGCCACAAGAUAAUUGAGAGCCAUUAAGUAAUGUUUGGUUCUGAAAUGUAGCAAUUAUCUCGGUAAUUGCAAGGACGUUCCUUGAAUUCUAACCCAUUUUUAUUGACAUGUUGAGUGUUUCUGCUGCUGUCCAAGCUGCUGGAGUGCCUGGUGAGAGACAGCAGGGAGAAGAAGUGUGUUCUCUAGGAGAAUGCCAAGAGUAAUUAUUUGGUGAUGCUUUUUGUGUUGCAAGCACCUGAUACUGAGUUGGCUUCACCCUGCUGUGGUCAAGAGCUCUCAGCCUGGGCAGGGAGAUCUCGCCCUUCCUAAGACCAAAGCAGAU